CCAAGAUGGCAUGGCGGGACUCUGGCAGGCGGCACGGGCCAGCGUUGGGGCCUGCAGGCGGUCUAGUCGCGGAGUGUCUGUGGCAGGAGCGGCCUGGAGGCGGGCGAGUUUAAGGUCCUUGAUGGAGUUAAGUUGGGCCAGGAAUCGUUUUUUGAAGGCGUGGAUCUGCCAAGGAUGAAGUAGAGUUGGGGUCCAUUGCCGGUCUGGGUGAGUGAGGCCCGAAGUUUCGGGAAAGACAAAGCGAGUUCCUGCUGGUGCCGGCACAUCGCAGCCAGAGUAGAUCAUAGAGCAUGGAAGGGGAAUUGCCGUGUAUGGCGGCAGAUAGCCAGUCGGUAUCUACAGUCCGGGUUGGGUCCGAACUGAGAGGUAGGGAACUGGAGCUGGAAACCAUGAGGUACAAGAUGGAGGCGUAGGCAAGUCACGAGAAAGCAAAUGUGGCUAUGGUAACUUCAUAGAUGCUGCUGCACCCGCUGAGUUUCCCCAGCA